GAGUUUGAUCAUGGCUCAGGAUGAACGCUAGCGGGAGGCUUAACACAUGCAAGUCGAGGGGUAACAUGGGGUAGCAAUACUCUGAUGACGACCGGCGCACGGGUGAGUAACGCGUAUGCAACCUACCCUGUACAGGGGGAUAGCCCGAAGAAAUUCGGAUUAAUACCCCAUAAAGAUAUUUUGAGGCAUCUUAGGAUAUUUAAAGUUUCGGCGGUACGGGAUGGGCAUGCGUAACAUUAGCUAGUUGGUAGGGUAACGGCCUACCAAGGCGACGAUGUUUAGGGGUCCUGAGAGGGUGAUCCCCCACACUGGUACUGAGACACGGACCAGACUCCUACGGGAGGCAGCAGUAAGGAAUAUUGGUCAAUGGACGCAAGUCUGAACCAGCCAUGCCGCGUGCAGGAAGACAGCCCUACGGGUUGUAAACUGCUUUUGUACGGGAAAAAACCUCCGGUCGUGCACCGGAGCUGAUGGUACCGUAAGAAUAA
rnacentral:rRNA from 1 species